UGAUCCUACGGGGGGCAGCAGUGGGGAAUAUUGGGCAAUGGGCGCAAGCCUGACCCAGCAACGCCGCGUGAAGGAAGAAGGCUUUCGGGUUGUAAACUUCUUUUCUCAGGGACGAAGCAAGUGACGGUACCUGAGGAAUAAGCCACGGCUAACUACGUGCCAGCAGCCGCGGUAAUACGUAGGUGGCAAGCGUUAUCCGGAUUUACUGGGUGUAAAGGGCGUGUAGGCGGGAAAGCAAGUCAGAUGGGAAAACCAAGGGCUCAACCGGGGGCCUGCAUUUGAAACUGGUUUUC
rnacentral:rRNA from 1 species